GCACUGCAGGACCCUGCAGUGCCUCCCUCCCUUCCUCCCUCCCUCCCUCCCUCGCCGGCUGAGUCAGCGUGGGAGGAGCAUGGGCGGAGCCUGACUCAGCGCUGAGGGACAUCGGAGGGAGGGAGGGAGGAAGGGAGGGAGGCACUGCAGGGUCCUGCAGUGCC